rnacentral:rRNA from 1 species
UACGGAGGGUGCAAGCGUUAUCCGGAUUCACUGGGUUUAAAGGGUGCGUAGGAGGGCAGGUAAGUCAGUGGUGAAAUCUCCGAGCUUAACUUGGAACUGCCGUUGAUACUAUCUGUCUUGAAUAUUGUGGAGGUGAGCGGAAUAUGUCAUGUAGCGGUGAAAUGCUUAGAUAUGACCCGGAACACCGAUUGCGAAGGCAGCCCGCUAAGCAACUAUUGACGCUGAGGCACGAAAGCGUGGGGAUCAAACAGG